UGGGUGUUUGAUUGACUUGUGCCAUCAUGAAUUUGCACACGUAAUAUGCACAUAGAUUGUUCCCUCCUUCUUGUCUUAAACACCACUGUACGAUGUAUAUAUAUAUAAAAAUAUUCAUAACCACGACAAUAAGAAGGCUAAAAGUUAGCGAAAGUUUGUUAGCUAGUAGAACUUACUUGUGGAUGUAUUAUGUCAAGCGGC
rnacentral:lncRNA from 1 species